rnacentral:rRNA from 1 species
AGUGAACGCUGGCGGUAGGCCUAACACAUGCAAGUCGAACGGCAGCACAGUAAGAGCUUGCUCUUACGGGUGGCGAGUGGCGGACGGGUGAGGAAUACAUCGGAAUCUACUUUUUCGUGGGGGAUAACGUAGGGAAACUUACGCUAAUACCGCAUACGACCUACGGGUGAAAGCAGGGGAUCUUCGGACCUUGCGCGAUUGAAUGAGCCGAUGUCGGAUUAGCUAGUUGGCGGGGUAAAGGCCCACCAAGGCGACGAUCCGUAGCUGGUCUUAGAGGAUGAUCAGCCACACUGGAACUGAGACCCGGUCCCGACUCCUACGGGAGGCCGCCGUGGGGAAUAUUGGACAAUGGGCGCAAGCCUGAUCCAGCCAUACCGCGUGGGUGAAGAAGGCCUUCGGGUUGUAAAGCCCCUUUGUUGGGAAAGAAAAGCAGCAGGUUAAUACCCCGCUGUUCUGACGGUACCCAAAGAAUAAGCCCCGGCUAACUUCCUG